CUGAGAUAGGGCAUGAGUUCCUGCAUUUCUAAUAAGCACCCAGGACAUGCUGUUGCUGCUGGUCUGGGGAUCACAUAUGAGUAUUAAAGUCCUGAACAACAAUUUUAUAUCUCUUUCCCAACCCCCCUCCCAGCAUUUUCUCCACCAUCCAUUCAACCAAAAGAUGCAAAAAAGUAUAAACUCAGAAAUGGAGAAGCCAUGGUAAAAAAAAUGAAUGAUUUCUCUGAAGAGUGCUGCUGAUGAUGUAAAGAAAUUUAAAACUGGAACAAAUUGUGAACUGAAGGUUCUAUUUGGAUGCUGUAAUCAACUGGUCAUUGGAAUGGCAUAAAAGAGUGUCCAGGAAAAUGCCAUUUAAAAGCUGGAUUCUAUAGGUUUGCACCCAAACAACCUAUAGGCAUGACACAGCAAACCCUCACACAAACACUGGUUUUGCUUUAUGAAUUCAAUCCAAGACAGGGAAAACAGUCUCAAUUUUCUGGCACUCUCCCUCUUGAGCCCUGGAACUGGAGAAAUUCUAUGACAGGCUAUUCCUAUGUUGAAGUAAGAGAUGCACAGUCAAGAAAAGCCAAGAAACUCAAGUAAGUAUUGUAUGCCGGCACCAGAAGCACAGGACUGCUCUGACUGAAAGUGGCAAUAAAGGAAAGCUGAGACACGUGGGAAAAGGGACAAGAGCCAGAAGAAAUACAAAAGGAAAAAAACAGGCAGAGUAAAGGACAGCACAGAAUAGACAUGGUGGUGUGGAAAACAAGCAGCAAGCCGUCUGACAGCUGAGAAGAGCAGCAAAGAAACUUAGAGCAGUUCUGUCAUGUGGAGAGAGGGGCAAAUAGCCCCCAACCCCAAAAAGCGUGGUAAUUAAGGCAUUCACUCAUUCACUCAUUCAUUCAACAAACUUACUCUGUGGGAAAAGCUUAAACUUGAUUCACUUCUAAACACCCACUUCUAUUAUUUUUACAUUUUAUUAUGAUUUAAAUGUUAUUAUUAAAAAAUGUUUUGG
rnacentral:lncRNA from 1 species